AUAAAGGUGUUUCAAGGUUAUGCUAGCUUAACAGUCUUAUAAAGAAGAAAACUGAGGCCAGAUGAGAGUGGCUGAGUGGCUUUUACAGCUCUGAUUUAUAAUUAAUAAGUUGGUGUGGAUGACUACAGCUCAGAGUCUGAUGUGAUUAUUAUACCUUCAGCCCUGGACUUUGUCUCACAAGAUGAAAUGUUGACGCCCCUGGGGAGAUUGGACAAGUAUGCUGCAAGUGAGAACGUAUUUAACAGACAAAUGGUGGCCCGGAGUUUGCUGGAUACCUUGAGGGAAGUCUGCGAUGAUGAAAGAGAUUGUAUCGCUGUUUUGGAAAGAAUUAGCAGAUUGGCCGAUGAUUCAGAACCAACUGUGAGAGCGGAGCUGAUGGAACAGGUGCCUCACAUCGCACUGUUUUGUCAAGAAAACCGGCCUUCAAUACCAUACGCUUUUUCAAAAUUCUUACUACCUAUUGUGGUUAGAUAUCUUGCAGAUCAGAAUAAUCAGGUGAGGAAAACAAGUCAGGCAGCUUUGCUUGCUCUUUUGGAGCAGGAGCUCAUUGAACGAUUUGAUGUGGAGACCAAAGUGUGC
rnacentral:sRNA from 1 species